GGGUCCAUAGUAUAAUGGUAGUACAAGAGCCUCCAAAUCUCUUAGUCUAGGUUCGAUUCCUAGUGGGCCCG
rnacentral:tRNA from 1 species